CCCGAUCCUGGUCCAUCCACAGUUAUGGACAAUGGUGUUAAACUAAGCGAGCUGUAUAGUGGAGUUUUUGACCUCGAAGAAAAUUGGGAACUUUCUUCUAUUGAUUCGGCUUAUAUGAUUGACCAUUCGCAAGAGACCAUUGACCCUGGCGACAGUUUACCCUUGGUGGGUAGAGAACUCGUGUUGGAGGACAUUGCAUCGUUCUCGGUAUUUGAGAAUGAAAUCGAUAUUGCGCCUUUAGAUGUCGAUGCUGGUAAGGUUGCUACUCAGUCUCCUACGCUCAAUUGUGAAAACCUUGAAGGGUUGCCCGUCAUUCAAUUGACUGAUCUGAGUGCUCUCAGGAAAAGAAUUGUUGACAAAUUUAUUCAUAGCGAUUCAGGAGGCGGAACCAGGCACACCAGAUCAAAAGGGCCAGUACCUGAUUACCCGAACGUGCAAGGUAAAGUCCUUGAGUACAAAGCUAGAACUAAGUCAUAUGACACAGCCUAAUUUCAGUUACUCUCAUUAAUUAGUAAUGCCUUGAUUUUGUAUAAAUUGUAGCAAUGUUCUUAACGUGCAAGAUGUGCCUUUUCGUUCAGUGCAGCGGGUUAACGGUAUUUUCGUAGUAUUGUUGACAUGUAUGGCCGAAGUGACGAAGCUAAGGGUGGCGAUGACCCUGAAUAAUCCUCAUUGUGUAGGAGGAGAGGGGCACGAACGGAAGUGUAUAAAUGUGUAAUUUUAAGCAUUGCGUAUAUGGUUAAGCGUUAGGAAAUUAAGAUGUAAUAUGUUCUGAUUCGUAGAAAUGUAUGAUAAAAAUUAGGAAAUCAAUUUAUAUUCAACUGCCGUGCAAUAAAAAUUGUAUUCCCUUCAGCAUUCUUGCAGCAUUAAUUGUAAAUAUGAUGUAGGGAAGGAAGACAAGAUUUCUUGUUUUUAAUGCAAAUCAAUAAAUCUUUAACUUUUUAAUGUAUUGUGUUGCGUAUCUUGAAACUAGGAUGUAAUGGUUUAUUGUGAGCAUGAGCCCAAGCACACCUGCAGCCCGUCACAAUGCUACUAAAGUAUUCAGUUAGCCCUAUGCAGCUUCUAAGCACAGAUUUGUUUGAGCUGGCGGGGGGGUAUGUAACCGGAGGUUACCAUGCAUGACACUUUCGCAGCAAAUCAAAUCUGUAGCAUGUUAUUUCAUAUUAAGAUGAUCCGGGAUUUAGGACCCGAGUUCCGCGGUGUCUACUACCAAGCGGACCACUUUAUACUGGUGGCUUGUGCUAGGAAGAGCUAAGUGCUUGGUUACUGCUGGCCCAUCUCAUGCUCCCUAAUUUACAUAGUAGUUUAUUCAGUACCUCAUUCUUGGUUUGCAUCUAAGCUAUACCUAGCUUACUCUUCAAUAUCCACCCUAGGCUAUACCUAACCAUCUGAGCUGUCUAUUAGUUGUCUUGACCAUUGUUCGGUACAUCUAGAACCUUGCCACUUGCUAAAUUGUGUGUUUAUGGACGAUACAUAAUUCAGUCUACUGGUAUUU